UACGUGGGGAGCAAGCGUUGUUCGGAUUUACUGGGCGUAAAGGGCGCGUAGGCGGCGCAACAAGUCACUUGUGAAAUCUCCGGGCUUAACUCGGAACGGUCAAGUGAUACUGUUGUGCUAGAGUGCGGAAGGGGCAACUGGAAUUCUCGGUGUAGCGGUGAAAUGCGUAGAUAUCGAGAGGAACACCUGCGGCGAAGGCGGGUCUCUGGGCAGUAACUGACGCUGAGGAGCGAAAGCGUGGGGAGCAAACAGG
rnacentral:rRNA from 1 species